GAUGAACGCUGGCGGCGUGCCUAAUACAUGCAAGUCGAGCGAACGGACGAGAAGCUUGCUUCUCUGAUGUUAGCGGCGGACGGGUGAGUACCACGUGGAUACCCUACCUAUAAGACUGGGAUAACUUCGGGAAACCGGAGCUAAUACCGGAUGAUAUUUUGAACCGCAUGGUUCAAAAGUGAAAGACGGUCUUGCUGUCACUUAUAGAUGGAUCCGCGCUGCAUUAGCUAGUUGGUAAGGUAACGGCUUACCAAGGCAACGAUGCAUAGCCGACCUGAGAGGGUGAUCGGUCACACUGGAACUGAGACACGGUCCAGACUCCUACGGGAGGCAGCAGUAGGGAAUCUUCCGCAAUGGGCGAAAGCCUGACGGAGCAACGCCGCGUGAGUGAUGAAGGUCUUCGGAUCGUAAAACUCUGUUAGUAGGGAAGAACAGAUGUGUAAGUAACUGUGCACAUCUUGACGUUACCUAAUCAGAAAGCCACGGCUAACUACGUG
rnacentral:rRNA from 1 species